GACGAACGCUGGCGGCGUGCUUAACACAUGCAAGUCGAACGGAAAGGCCCUGCUUUUGUGGGGUGCUCGAGUGGCGAACGGGUGAGUAACACGUGAGUAACCUGCCCUUGACUUUGGGAUAACUUCAGGAAACUGGGGCUAAUACCGGAUAGGAGCUCCUGCUGCAUGGUGGGGGUUGGAAAGUUUCGGCGGUUGGGGAUGGACUCGCGGCUUAUCAGCUUGUUGGUGGGGUAGUGGCUUACCAAGGCUUUGACGGGUAGCCGGCCUGAGAGGGUGACCGGCCCCAUUGGGACGGAGUGACGGCCCGAACCCCCCGGGGGGGGAGGCGGGGGGAAUGUGGCCAAAGGGGGGGAAGCCUGAUGCAGCAAGCCCGGUUGCGGGAUGGCGGCCUUGGGGUGGAAAACCGCUUUCGCUUGGGGGGAAGGGGGAGGGAGGGUAAUGGGGAAGAAAGCCCCGCCUACCUCGUU
rnacentral:rRNA from 1 species